CGCACAGUAAACGAUGAAUACCAGCUGUUGGCGAUAGACAGUCAGCGGCGUAAGCGAAAGCGUUAAGUAUUCCACCUGGGGAGUACGCCGGCAACGGUGAAACUCAAAGGAAUUGACGGGGGCCCGCACAAGCGGAGGAACAUGUGGUUUAAUUCGAUGAUACGCGAGGAACCUUACCCGGGCUUGAAUUGCAACAGAAUAAUCGAGAGAUCGAUUAGCCGUAAGGCGGGUGUGAAGGUGC
rnacentral:rRNA from 1 species